rnacentral:rRNA from 1 species
CAGCCGCCGCGGUAAUACAGAGGAGCCAAGCGUUGUCCGGAUUGACUGGGCGUAAAGCGCACGCAGGUGGUCGUGCAAGUGUCGUGUGAAAGCAGCUCGCUCAACGAGCUGAGGCAUGGCAGACUGCAUAACUCGAGCCCGUGAGAGGUCGGUGGAAUUGCCGGUGUAGUGGUGAAAUGCGUAGAGAUCGGCAGGAACACCCAAGGGGAAGCCAGCCGACUGGCACGGUGCUGACACUGAGGUGCGACAGCGUGGGGAGCAAACGGGAUUAGAUACCCCGGUAGUCCACGCCGUAAACGAUGGAUACUCGCCCUAUGGCGGCUCAAUGCCGUUGUGGGGCCAAGUUAACACGAUAAGUAUCCCGCCUGGGAACUACGAGCGCAAGCUUAAAACUCAAAGGAAUUGACGG